GGUGAACGCUGGCGGCGUGCCUAACACAUGCAAGUCGAGCGGUGCAGUUUGAAGCUUCGGUGGAAAGCUGCAUAGCGGCGGACGGGUGAGGAAAACGUAGGAACGUGCCCCUUGGAGUUGGAUAGCCACGGGAAACUGUGGGUAAACCGACAUAGACUCGAGAGAGUAAAGGCCGAAAGGCGCCAAGGGAGCGGCCUGCGGCCCAUCAGGUAGUUGGUAGUGUAAAGGACUACCAAGCCGACGACGGGUAGCCGGUCUGAGAGGAUGGCCGGCCACAAGGGCACUGAGAGACGGGCCCUACUCCUACGGGAGGCAGCAGUGGGGGAUUUUGGACAAUGGGCGAAAGCCUGAUCCAGCGACGCCGCGUGGAGGACGAAGCCCUUCGGGUGUAACUCCUUUCUUCAGGAAAAGGAAUGAUGGUAUCUGAGGAAUAAGCCCGGCUAACUACGUGCCAGCAGCCGCGGUAACUAGUCUACG
rnacentral:rRNA from 1 species